GAAGAUGAUGAUGAUGAUUAUGAUGAAGAAGGUGAAGAAGCGGAUGAGGAAGGGGGAGAAGAAGGAGAUGAGGAAAAUGAUCCAGACUAUGACCCAAAGAAGGAUCAAAACCCAGCAGAGUGCAAGCGGCAGUGAAGCAGGUUGUAUGUGGCCUUGAGGAUAACCUGCACUGGUCUACCUUCUGCUUCUCUGGAAAGGAUGAAUUUACAUCAUUUGAUGAGCCUAUUUCAAGUUUUUUGUUACUGUUUGUUUUGCUUGUUUUUGUUUUUGCAGCCUAAAAUAAAAAUGUCAAAUACAA